AGUACAUAGAAAAGAUAAUAUAAGACAGUGCAGUAAUAAUGUAAUAUAUAAUUGUAUAAUUGUCAGGGAUAUGAGUUUUUGUUUGAAGAACGUUCUGUAGGCCAAUCAAAAAUACAAAAGUGUGAGCUUCUGUAAUAAGUAACAGCAGUAAUGAUUCUCUAGUCGUUGAUGAAUUUUCUGGGUCUCAUAAUUAUCAUACUUUUUGGUGUCCACUUGAAGUGUAGAAGCUUUCGGUCAAAUAUGUUCAAUUUAUUUUUGUUUAUUUUAUUCCUCGGCAGAAUUUGGACAGUUCCUUUUCAGAGUUUGUCAUUUUAACACUUUACUUUUCUUACAGACUAUGACGGCAAUGCCCACUGUUCAUCAUGAUGAAGAGACACCAGGAAUCCACUCAAGACUUUAAUCAUUAAAAAAAAAAAAAAAUGUAGUCAAAUUUUAAUAAAGUAGUCAUGCAUCCCUA